rnacentral:SRP_RNA from 1 species
CCGCACAGCCGGGGAGUCAGCGGUGCCCUGUACCCGCAAUCCGCUACAGCGGGGGUGAUGUCCUGCCCCGGGCGGUUUUCUGCAGAGCCGCCCCCUGUAACUGGCGUUGAAGCCUGGGUCUUGCGCAACAGGAAUCCGUGAACCGUGUCAGGGCAGGAAUGCAGCAGCACUAAGCGGAAGCUUCUGUGUGCCGCAAGGCAGCCUGGGCCGAGUUAAGUGCAGGGGUAACGUCUGUGGAAGCCGUUCAAAGCAGGACGUGCGG